AGCGCGGGAAGCAAACAGAUCUCUUCGGAGUGACGUUUGUGGAACGAGCGGCGGACGGGUGAGUAACACGUGGGCAACCUGCCUGUAAGACUGGGAUAACUCCGGGAAACCGGGGCUAAUACCGGAUAAUACUUUGCUUCGCAUGAAGGAAAGUUGAAAGAUGGCUUCUUGCUAUCACUUACAGAUGGGCCCGCGGCGCAUUAGCUAGUUGGUGAGGUAAGAGCUCACCAAGGCAACGAUGCGUAGCCGACCUGAGAGGGUGAUCGGCCACACUGGGACUGAGACACGGCCCAGACUCCUACGGGAGGCAGCAGUAGGGAAUCUUCCGCAAUGGACGAAAGUCUGACGGAGCAACGCCGCGUGAACGAAGAAGGUUUUCGGAUCGUAAAGUUCUGUUGUUAGGGAAGAACAAGUACCGUUCCAAUAGGGCGGUACCUUGACGGUACCUAUCGAGGAAGCCCCGGCUAACUACGUGCCAGCAGCCGCGGUAAUACGUAGGGGGCAAGCGUUGUCCGGAAUUAUUGGGCGUAAAGCGCGCGUAGGCGGUUUCUUAAGUCUGAUGUGAAAUCUUGCGGCUCAACCGCAAGCGGUCAUUGGAAACUGGGGAACUUGAGUACAGAAGAGGAGAGCG
rnacentral:rRNA from 1 species